rnacentral:rRNA from 1 species
UUUUUUAUAAAUAUAAUUUUUAAAAAGUUUAAAUUUUAUGUUAAUUUUAUCAAACAUUUUUUUGAAAAAUUUAUUUUAUUAAAAAUGACUUAUAUUUAUAUAUUUAGUAUUGUGAAAGAAUUUAGAAAAAAAUUAAAUUAAAAAUUUUUUAUUUGUACCUUUUGUAUCAGGGUUAUUUAAAAUUUUUGUUUUUAUUAAAUAUUUCUCGAAAUAAUUAGAAUUAAAGUUAUAUAUUUUUUAUAGUUGAAUUUAUAUUAUUCAUAUAAUUUUAGAAGAAAAAUUUUAUUCAAUAAUUAUUAUAUCUAGUUUUUUUAUAAAUAAAUUAAAUUUAAUUUAUUUUUUUUAUAAAAAUUUAUUAAUUUAAUUUUUAUAAUUUUAAUAAUUAAGAAUUUUUGGGAUAAGCUAGAAAUUUAUUUUAAUAUAUUAUUUAAAUUAAUUUUUAAGUAUUAAAUAAAUUUAGAAUUUGUUAUUUUUAAUUAAUAUAUAAUAAUAAAUUAAUUUUAUUUUAAUAAUUUAUUUAUAUUAAUUUAAUUUUUUAUAAAAAUUUUAUUUUUAAUUUUUUAGAAUAAAUAAUAAUGAAUAAAUUAGUAAAUAUGUUAUAUAAUUAUAUUAUAAUAAUUUUUUUUUAAGAUUAAAUUAAUGAAUUCGGCAAAAAAUUUUUAUCCAAAUGUUUAAUAAAAACAUUUUCUGUUGAUUUUAAUAAUAGGUAAUUUCUGCUCAAUGAUUAUUUAAUUAAAUAGCUGCAAUUAUUGUACUAAGGUAGCAUAAUCAAUUGUUUUUUUAAUGAAAACUAGAAUGAAAGAAUUAAUGAGAUAUAAGCUUUAUAAUUUUAAAUUAUUUAAAUUUUAUUUUAUGUAAAAAUUCAUAGAAGUAUUUAAAAGACGAGAAGACCCUGUAGAAUUUUAUAAAUUAAUUUUUAAAUUUAUUUUAUUUAAAAUUGUUUAAAAAUUUUUUUUUAUUAAGUUGGGGAUAUUUUAAAAUUUAAUAAAAUUUUAAUUACUUGAAAUUUAUUUAUAAAUUUAUUUAAUUUUUAUUAUUAAUAAAUUUAAAAUUAAAUUACCUCAGGGAUAACAGCGUAAUAGAUUUAUAAGAUCUUUUUUGAAAAUUUGUUUGCGACCUCGAUGUUGGAUUAAGAUAAAUUAUUAGUGUAGAUGCUAAUAAAUUAAGUCUGUUCGACUUUUAAAUUCUUACAUGAUUUGAGUUUAGAUCGGUGUGAGCCAGAUCGGAUUCUAUCUUUAAAAAAUUAAUUUUAAUUUUGUACGAAAGGACUUUUUAAUUUUAAUAAUUAAUUUAUAUAGAAUUAAAUUAAU